rnacentral:antisense_RNA from 1 species
AUGCGCAACCCGCGCGCCGUCGUCCCUGGCAACACUGGCUGCUCCAACGCCUGGCGGGGUCUCACCGGCCGGGCCUGGGCGCACGCCCAAAGCGCCAGGUCUCCACCCCCAGCCCCAGGCGUCCUGCAGCCGGAGCCUGCCUCGCCUGGCUCCUGCGCCCGCCGUCCAGGGCCCCUGUCCAAGCUCGCGGACGCCGGCGGCGUUUUCCAGCUCGAGUGCUCAGCCUAGGGCAGGCUCUGCGUGCGCCCCCUCGAGUGCUGGCCUGGGCCCUGCCAGGCAGAGGCGCUCUUGCGUCAGGACGGCGCCGCCAGGGCCCCGCGAUUCCAACUCGGGGGUCCCGGAGCGGCGCGGGGCGGGGACGGCCUGGCAGCUCCCAGCAGCGAGGGGCGAUCCCCCCCCGCGCAGCAGACCCCGAGCUGCCCAGGCCCUUCCUGCGCCACGUGUACCCAGAGCUCCGCCCGGGGGAGACUUCGCUGCUUGUUGGAGAUGCCCAGCGGUAGGGGGCGAGGACUCGGGAGGAAGGUAAAUGGGGGAUCCCGUGUCUGGACUUUCUCCUCCACCCUCUUCCCUUCGCAGCUGUGAAUCCUGGGAGGGGAAGGGUGGCCGCCCCGCCAGCAGAGAGCUGAAGGUGUUCCGUGGUCAGUGAGGGCUGGCACUGGCUCUGCACGAAGAUCUCCUCACCUCCCCAGCGGCUCCUGGCCAGCUCCCCACGGAGAGCCCAGGACACUUGUCCCUGGACACAGUGGUGCAGCCAUGCUUGGGCCAAACCAUGAGGCCACCAGAACCGCGAAAGGCUACUCUACUGAGAGGGAUACUGCGAGAGAGGCCCACGGGUUUCCAAGCAUCCCUCUCACUCCGCACACUCAUCUCCACGACCGGCUUUUAAGUGCGGCCUUGAGGCCUGGCUCCCUGUUUGGACUUCUCUGCACCUCCAGGAGCUCCCUUCCCGUCACAGCUGGAUGCCUCCUCCCGCAGGCACCUCCCCGGCAUCCUCCCGCCCCAGGCUGCACCUUCUGUGGGACUGGCCCCCGCAGGCACCUCCCCAGCAUCCUCCCGCCCCAGGCUGCACCUUCUGUGGGACUGAGCCCUGAAGGCACCUCCCCGGCAUCCUCCCGCCCCAGGCUGCAGCUUCUGUGGGACUGACCCCCGCAGGCACCUCCCCGGCAUCCUCCCGCCCCAGGCUGCAGCUUCUGUGGGACUGACCUUAAGACCCCAUCGGUUCCUCCUGAGAGCAGCAGAUCUCAGCCAGAUGCUGCCGGGAGGGAGGUGCUAGCGUCCACACCCAGACAGGGGUCCAGUCCAGCCCUGCUCUCCCUGGUCUCCAGGCAGGGCCCUCCCAGGGUGGACAUUGCCCAUCUCUGCCUGGCCAGGGGCUGCUGACCCACUGGUUCCAGAGUCUGAGCCUGUCCUGCACAAGUACCAUGGACAGGGGUCAGCCGGGCACUGAAGAGACGUGGCAGAAUUGGGCAGGGCAAGGGCCCCAGCUGGCAAGCUGGAGUCAGGGCAAUUCCAACCAAGAAACUGCGGCAGGCUGGGUGCAGUGUCUCAAGCCUAUAAUCCCAGCACUUUGGGAGGCAGUGGGAGAAUCGCUUGAGCCCGGGAGUUUGAGACCAGCAUUGGUAACAUAGAGACACCCUAUCGCUACAAGAAAAAAAAAAAAAAAAAAGCUGGGCAUGGUGGUGCACACCUGUUGUCCCAGCUACUCAGGAGGCUGACGUGGGAGGAUUGCUUGUGCCCAGGGGUUGCAGGCUGCAGUGAGCUGUGAUCAUACCACUGCACUCCAGCCUGGGCGACAGAGAACCUCUCUAAAAAAAAAAGGAAAAUGAAAAAUAAAUGGGGGCAGAAGCUCCUCCAGGGCCCACCUGGCCUGCUGGGGA